AGAAGGAGAGUCCCACGCCCGGCGCUGAAGAAAGAGGUACGUUUAACCCCUUCCACCCCCUAGAGCCCGGCGCGAGGGGGACCCUGUUGUUGGGGGCACCCUCAGGGCACUGUAGUGCCAGGAAAACGAGUAUGUUUUCCUGGCACUAUAGUGGUCCUUUAAGUAAUUGUAUUGAUUGCUAUUUGAGAGACCUGCCUGACCAUCCAGGCCGAAAGUCCAGAGAAUUUAAUUUGCUAGCACUGUAUUUAACCCUGUAACUUUCAAUGACACCCUAAAACCUG